GUGCCAGCCGCCGCGGUAAUACGUAGGUCCCGAGCGUUGUCCGGAUUUAUUGGGCGUAAAGCGAGCGCAGGCGGUUAGAUAAGUCUGAAGUUAAAGGCUGUGGCUUAACCAUAGUACGCUUUGGAAACUGUUUAACUUGAGUGCAAGAGGGGAGAGUGGAAUUCCAUGUGUAGCGGUGAAAUGCGUAGAUAUAUGGAGGAACACCGGUGGCGAAAGCCGCUCUCUGGCUUGUAACUGACGCUGAGGCUCGAAAGCGUGGGGAGCAAACAGGAU
rnacentral:rRNA from 1 species